rnacentral:lncRNA from 1 species
UUUGAAGCACAAGUGUGGAAAAAGGAUAGUAGCAUUGUCCCUUCUCCCUUUUUCUCUCAUUUUUUUCUUUUUGGUUUGGCUUCUUUGGCCUCUUUUUUUCCUCACACGGGACAAUGCUCUAAUAAUGAAGAUCAUCACACUUUCAUUUACUUACAACUCAAGAAUUACAACUCGAUACUAGAACAAAAUAUGACUCUAUAUGAAUGCCUCCGGCGGUGUACCGGGAUAUGCAAUGAAUCAAGAGUGACAUGUAUGACAAAUUAUGAAUGGUGGCUUUGCCACAAAUACGAUGUCAACUACAUGAUCAUGCAAGGCAAUAUGACAAUGAUGAAGCGUGUCAUAAUAAACGGAACGGUGGAAAGUUGCAUGGCAAUAUAUCUCGGAAUGGCUAUGGAAAUGCCAUAAUAGGUAGGUAUGGUGGCUUUUUUGAGGAAGGUAAAUGGUGGGUUUAUGGUACCGACGAAAGUUGCGCGGUACUUAAGAGGCUAGCAAUGGUGGAAGGGUGAGAGUGCGUAUAAUCCAUGGACUCAACAUUAGUCAUAAAGAACUCACAUACUUAUUGCAAAAAUCUACAAGUCAUCAAAUCCAAGCACUACGUGCAUGAUCCUAGGGGGAUAGAUUGGUAGGAAAAGACCAUCACUCGUCCCCGACCGCCACUCAUAAGGAAGACAAUCAAAGAAACACCUCAUGCUUCAAAUUUGUUACACAAUGGUUACCAUACGUGCAUGCUACGGCACAUGCAAACCUCAACACAAGUAUUUCUCAAAUUCACAAUUAGUCAACUAGCAUGACUCUAAUAUCACCAUCUUCAUAUCUCAAAACAAUCAUCAAGCAUCAAACUUCUCAUAGUAUUCAAUGCACUUUAUAUGAAAGUUUUUAUUAUACCCAUCUUGGAUGCCCAUCAUAUUAGGACUAAAUUCAUAACCAAAACAAAUGACCAUGCUGUUCUAAAGGACUCUCAAAAUAAUAUAAGUGAAGCAUGAGAGAUCAAUAAUUUCUUCAAAAUAAAACUACCGCCGUGCUCUAAAAAGAUAUAAGUGAAGCACUAGAGCAAAUGACAAACUACUCCAAAAGAUAUAAGUGAAGAUCAAUGAGUAGUCGAAUAAUUAUGUAACUAUGUGAAGACUCUCUAACAUUUAAGAAUUUCAGAUCUUGGCAUAUUAUUCAAACAGCAAGCAAAACAAAAUAAAAUAAAAUGAUGCUCCAAGCAAAACACAUACCAUGUGGUGAAUAAAAAUAUAGCUCCAAGUAAAGUUACCGAUGAACGAAGGCGAAAGAGGGGAUGCCAUACGGGGCAUCCCCAAGCUUAGGCUCUUGGUUGUCCUUGAAUAUUACCUUGGGGUGCCUUGGGCAUCCCCAAGCUUAGGCUCUUGCCACUCCUUAUUCCAUAGUCCAUCGAAUCUUUACCCAAAACUUGAAAACUUCACAACACACAACUUAACAGAAAACUCGUAAGCUCCGUUAGUAUAAGAAAAUAAAUCACCACUUAGGUACUAUUGUGAACUCAUUCUAAAUUAAUAUUGGUGUAAUAUCUACUGUAUUCCAACUUCUCUAUGGUUCAUACCCUCCGAUACUACUCAUAGAUUCAUCAAAUAAGCAAACAACACAUAGAAAACAGAAUCUGUCAAAAACAGGACAGUCUGUAGCAAUCUGUAUCAUUCGAAUACUUCUGUAACUUCAAAAAUUCUGAAAUAAAUUAGUGGACGUGAGGAAUUUGUCUAUUAAUCAUCUUCAAAAAUAAUCAACCUAAAAGCACUCUCCAGUAAAAAAUGACAGCUAAUCUCGUGAGCGCAAAAGUUUCUGUUUUUUACAGCAAGAUCGCAAAGACUUCACCCAAGUCUUACCAAAGGUUCUACUUGGCACAAACACUAAUUAAAACAUAAAACCAUAUCUAACCAGAGGCUAGAUAGAUUAUUUGUUACUAAACAGGAGCAAAAGGCAAAGAACAAAAAUUAAAUUGGGCUGCCUCCCAACAAGCGCUAACGUUUAACGCCCCUAGCUAGGCAUGAUGAUUUCAAUGAUGCUCACAUAAAAGAUAAGAAUUGAAACAUAAAGAGAGCAUCAUGAAGAAUAUGACUAGCACAUUUAAGUCUAACCCACUUCCUAUGCAUAGGGAUUUAGUGAGCAAACAAUUUAUGGGAACAAGGAUCAACUAGCAUAGGAAAGCAAAACAAGCAUAACUUCAAGAUUUUAAGCACAUAGAGAGGAAACUUGAUAUUAUUGCAAUUCCUACAAGCAUAUAUUCCUCCCUCAUAAUAAUUUUCAAUAGCAUCAUGAAUGAAUUCAACAAUAUAACCAUCACAUAAAGCAUUCUUUUCAUGAUCUACAAACAUAGAAUUUUUAUUACUGUCCACAUAAGCAAAUUUCUUCUCAUUCAGAAUAGUGGGAAUAUCAUAAAAAAACUUGAAUACUAUAAAUUGUUUCCACAUUAAGAGAGUAAUGUUCAGAAAAAGGGUAAUAAUAAUCAUGACAAGUUUUAUAGAUAUAAUCAUCACUACUUUUUAUAGCAUAAGUAUCAUCACAAUAAUCAUCAUAAGUAGGAGGCAUGCUAUCAUCAUAAUAAAUUCUCAUAUCAAAACUUGGGAGACUAAAAAUAUCAUCUUCAUUAAACAUAGCAUCCCCAAGCUUGGGACAAACAGUAAUUGCAGCAAAUAAAUUCUCAAACAUGUCAUUCUCAUCAAACAUAGCAUCCCCAAGCUUGGGCCUUUGCAUAUCAUAAGCACAAUCACUCUCAUCAUUAAUAGUAUGGAUAGCACCAAUAGUAUAGCAAUUAUCAUCAUCACAAUGAGUAAUAGGAGCAACAUCAUUUCGGAGGGAUACCUUUUUACCUUUGCUUCUCCGUCUUUUCUUUUUCUGCUUCGCAUCAUGUGUGGGUUUAAUCCUCUUUUCGGAGCUCCUUAUUAAUGAGAAUGGUUGAAUAGAAAGCUCCUCCUUGUUACCUGAUUCAUCAUAAGAAAGAAUAGGAGGAUAUUGGGAAAUCUCUUCCCUUUCAUUAGUAUUCUCUUCAUCUUCUAUUUGUUUUCUUGUCUUUAUGUAAUUGGCAAUAUAAGGAUUUUCAAUGCAAUUCACCGCACAAUACAUAUAAAUUUCCUCUAGAUCAAAAUCAAGAACUGUCUCAAGGGCAAAUUCUGGAAUAUCCUUAGUUAUACGUUUCAUUUCUUCAUGACCCAGAAGUAAACUAAGUUCAUUAUGAUGCGCAAGGGAAAUCAAGUCAUCACAAUUUUUGGACACGAUUCGAUCAUGAAACAAUUUGCAUUGGAUAUUUAAAUGACCACGUUCAUUGCAAAGUUCAGAAGGAUGGCUAAGAAAAUUUAAAUUUCCAGCACAAACAUCCAGCCUUUUUUGCAACCAUUUAGUUUCUAAAUACUUAUGCCUCUUGAAAAAUCUAUAUUCCCUAUUUGGUGUGUACUUGCAAACUCUAUGCACUCCACAAAAAUUGACAUGCUUAUAAGAGACAUUUUCAUCAUGACUAGUGCAAUCAUCAUUAGUACUAUGGAUAUUCAAAGAGUUCAUACUAACAACAUUGCAAUCAUGCUCAUCAUUCAAAGAUUUAGUGCCAAACAUUUUAAUGCAUUCUUCUUCUAGCACUUGGGCACAAUUUUCCUUUCCAUCAUUUUCACGAAAGACGUUAAAAAGAUGAAGCAUAUGAGGCACCCUCAAUUCCAUUUUUUUUGUAGUUUUCUUUUAUAAUCUAAACUAGUGAUAAAACCAGAAACUAAAAUAUUCGAUUGCAAGAUCUAAAGAUAUACCUUCAAGCACUCACCUCCCCGGCAACGACGCCAGAAAAGAGCUUAGUUGACGGGGUGUUAGUGCCGCUUACCUAGCCUCCCCGGCAACGACGCCAGAAAAGAGCUUGAUGUCUACUACACAACCUUCUUCUUGUAGACGUUGUUGGGCCUCCAAGUGUAGAGGUUUGUAGGACAGUAGCAAAUUUCCCUCAAGUGGAUGACCUAAGGUUUAUCAAUCCAUGGGAGGCGUAGGAUGAAGAUGGUCUCUGUCAAACAACCCUGCAACCAAAUAACAAAGAGUCUCUUGUGUCCCCAACACACCCAAUACAAUGGUAAGUAAAUUGUAUAGGUGCACUAGUUCAGCGAAGAGAUGGUGAUACAAGUGCAAUAUGGAUGGUAGAUAUAGGUUUUUGUAAUCUGAAAUUAUAAAACAGGCAAGGUAACAAGUAAUAAAAGUGAGCGUAAACGGUAUUGCAAUGCUAGGAAACAAGGCCUAGGGUUCAUACUUUCACUAGUGCAAGUUCUCUCAACAAUAAUAGCAUAAUUAGAUCAUACAACAAUCCCUCAACAUGCAACAAAGAGACACUCCAAAGUCACUAAUAGCGGAGAACAAACGAAGAGAUUAUUGUAGGGUACGAAACCACCUCAAAGUUAUCCUUUCUGAUCGAUCUAUUCAAGAGUCCGUAGUAAAAUAACACGAAGCUAUUCUUUCUGUUUGAUCUAUCCUAGAGUUCGUACUAGAAUAACACCUUAAGACACAUAUCAACCAAACCCCUGAUGUCACCUAGAUACUCCAAUGUCACCUCAAGUAUCCGUGGGUAUGAUUAUACGAUAUGCAUCACACAAUCUCAGAUUCAUCUAUUCAACCAACACAAAGAACUUCAAAGAGUGCCCUAAAGUUUCUACCGGAGAGUCAAGACGAAAACGUGUGCCAACCCCUAUGCAUAAGUUCACAAGCUCACUGAACCCGCAAGUUCAUCACCAAAACAUACAUCAAGUAGAUCACGUGAAUAUCCCAUUGUCACCACAGAUAAGCACAUGCAAGACAUACAUCAAGUGUUCUCAAACCCUUAAAGACUCAAUCCGAUAAGAUAACUUCGAAGGGAAAACUCAAUCCAUUACAAGAGAGUAGAGGGGGAGAAACAUCAUAAGAUCCAACUAUAAUAGCAAAGCUCGCGGUACAUCAAGAUCGUGCCAAAGCAAGAACACGAGAGAGAGAGAGAGAGAGAGAGAGAGAGAGAGAGAGAGAGAGAGAUCAAACACAUAGCUACUGGUACAUACCCUCAGCCCCGAGGGUGAACUACUCCCUCCACGUCAUGGAGAGCGCCGGGAUGAUGAAGAUGGCCACCGGUGAUGGAUCCCCCCUCCGGCAGGGUGCCGAAACAGGGUCCCGAUUGGUUUUUGGUGGCUACAGAGGCUUGCGGCGGCGGAGCUCCCGAUCUAGGUUAUUUUCUGGAGGUUUGGGGAUUUAUAGGAGAGGUUGGCGUCGAGAACAAGUCGGGGGGCCCCAUGGAGAGUCCACGAGGCACAGGGGUGCGCCCCAGGGGGUGGGCGCGCCCUCCACCCUCGUGGGGCCCACGGGACUCCCCUCCGGUAACUCUUCGUUCCAGUAUUUUUUAUAUUUUCUAGAAAAAAACUCCGUUGAUUUUCAGCGCAUUCCGAGAACUUUUAUUUCUGCACGAAAACAACACCACGGUAGUUCUGCUGAAAACAGCGUCAGUCGGGUUAGUUCUAACCAAAUCAUACCAAAAUCAUGUAAAAAUAUUAUAAACAUGGCAUGAAUACAUCAAAAAUUAUAGAUACGUUGGAGACGUGUCACUCCGCGUAUGUAGAGGAAGAAGGGAAUGAACUGGAGAUAGGUAAGUGAUGUGUGUGAUAGCAAGCAUAGUCUCUCGACAUGUAUUUAUAGGCAGCAGAGAGCCAGAGAGAUCACAUACUGAUUAAAUGCCGUGGUGAGGGGAUACUUUUUAUUUAAUGAGUGUAUCCGCAAAAGUUGUGCACCUUUUUCAAAGCUUUUUCAAAGAAAUUACAUUCCUUAAUUAUCAGAACCUCCAACCUUCUAUUUUAGACGAGGAACCCCUAGGUAAGAGCAUUUGUAGUGGACGCUUAAUACUCUGAUUUAUUCAUUUAUUGUCUGGCAGUAUAAAGAACACCCGAAGUAACAAAAAUUAACAAGCGCUAUCGCCUAUUUCCUACUUCAGUGGGAGGAAGUUUCCUUCCCUAACCACUAUUCCCGCCAACGGUGACAUCUCUAGCCAUGCGGGUAGCUCCGGCGAGCCUCAUGGAGCCCACUGACUGUGGCCCCGCUCAUACCUGGUCCCGCUACCGCUUUCAUAUUGCGAUUCUGUAUUUAUGGUCUGAUUAAUAAACACAUAAUAUUUUGGUAGAUCACCCCCUUAUUAAGUUUGCUAUUUUAUUACAUUACAUUUUCCCAGAUUUGGUAGGUAGCCUUUUCGGUGAGUAGACAUUUUAAUAUGGUUAUCAUUGUCCUUUGGUUAAUUUUGCUUGCAUGUGUGCAUAAUUGACUACCACCCCCACACCGUAUGACAUGUUUUGCCCCGAAACAGAAAAAUAAUUCAUCGACCAGACACUAAAGUUAUCAAAACAAUAUAUACACGAAUCACAAAUUGUUGUACAACAUAGGAUAGGCCCCACUGAUGGUUAUAGUCGUGUACCUUCAAGACAUAACGAUGUGAUAUGUAGGUAUCAUUUUGCUAUAUAUCUUCAAGAUGAAGUCAUAUGAGUAAGGGCAUGCACAAUGGUUGAUAAGAAGCUAUUUUCUUAUGCCUUACACAUCAUUUAGAGAAAGCAAAAGACAUGUUGUACAAUGUAUUAUCUUUAUCUCUAGAAAUUAAUGUCUGCAUGCUCCUAAAUAAUUAUAGUGAUUAAAGAUAGUGUAUGACUUAUACUUCUAGAGAGUAUUAUGGAUUUGAUACUAGUGUAUGAUAGUACCUUCAUAGUGCAUAUUACCACUGAUUUGUCCUUUAGAUGACCUCAUUGAUUGUUUUGUAUGUCUCAUAGCAGCACCUCAUUUAUUAUGAUACACUAUCAUGAUAUAAUAUUUAGUAUCAUUAUUUCCUCAUUUAAUGAUAUGCUAUGUCAGCAAUAUAGAUCAACGAUAGUUUGAUUUUGGCGCGUCUAGUUUCCAUUAUAUGGUUAUAUGAAACAAGACAUACCAAAUUUUAGGCCGAUCCAUGUCUAUGAAACACUAGAUCAGUGAAGUAACUUUGGGCAAUCAUAAACUCAUAGAUUUAAUUAGGACCAUCAUGAAAAAUCAAGUAACUUCAGGCCAUAAUCUAAAGCAAAUCAGCCAUGGAAAACAAAAUCCGUGAAUAAAUAUAAGGAAGUACUCUACAGAUUUGAUACUAUUUUUCCGCUUUUGCUAUUUGUCAGUUGCAUGAAUUUUAUUUUGUGUAAGUCACCUUUUCUUCUUCUUAUGUUCUCUGAAAAUUUAUUCACGGACAAUUCUUGAAACCCUAAAUAUAUUAUGUUAGUGCCUUUUUUUUGUAGUAGUAGUCAAGAUUUCCAACACAAAUUUAAUACUCGAAAGAUCAGUUGGCAUCAAUCUUGAGCGUUUAGCAAUAUCCAUCGUAUCCUUGGAGUACAAAAUUAAGCAGAUAAACAGCAGAUCAGCUGCCAAAUUAUUCAAAGAAAGCAUUUUUUUCACAUUAUGUUUGCAAAUUUUCAAAGCAUGAAAGCAAGUAUUAUUCCAGGCACGGGCUCGAUUACUACAUAUAGCUAGCGCACUCGUGCUGCACAACUAAUUAACGUGCGUUCUCCAUUGAUCCCACGGACGGAUCAAUCACCGGAAGUUUACGAUGGAUCGGUAGGUCUUGCCGGCCUGCCAGCCAGUGGGGAUGACAUUGCGGGCGACGAGCUUCUUGCCGGAGCCGGAGGUGAGGCGGAACGAUAUGGGUGCCUGCAGGGUGGACCCCGCGUUGUACUUCCACACGGCGCCCCACGACUCCUGCAUCGGCGCCCAGCUGCCGCCGCGCUGCUGAAGCUCGACCGCAGACAGGUCACCGUCGCCGGCCUCGUCCUCGAUGAGCACCGCAAGGUAGUUGGGGUUGGAGCCGGCGUCCACCUUGAAGGCGAUGUCCAGCCCAUGCCAGUUGCACGGGACCCUGCGAGCGAAGAAAUCAAAGAGAUGAGGAUCACACUAACAAUGCCAGUGCACGUAGGCAUAAGUGUGUGCGCUAGCUAGCUAUUUAAGCGAGAGCUUACCGGUUGUACUGGAUUCUAAGCUUGCCGACGUUGCGGAGGUUGUCGUCCUGUCCAGGCUUGGCCAUGGCGCCGAACGCUUUCCCGCUGAGGUCGAAGUGCGCAGCCUCGGCCUGGCACGGCCCGCCAGGGCACUGGUCUGUGACGACCACGGUCACCGGGGACCCGGAGCAAGCGGGAUUGCCGAUGCAUCGAACCUGAUAGCAAGCGCCGCAGCCCUUGCCGCCAUUGAAGAUGGAGGAGCCACCCGCCGUGAUCAUGGCGGAGAACGGCGGCUGCUCCACGUCGCCAUGGUACCCGCACGCACCACCUGCGGCACGCCCAUGCACGCGUCAGUACUCGAUCACUACGAAUACACGUAAACAACUACUACUAUGUACUAUUGUAUGUGCGCGUCCUAGCAUGCAUGCACUCUCAUCAUGGAGGUCGAUCUGCAUGUGACUAUAUACAAAUAUACCUACCGUCAGAGCCGGCGCCGUGGCGGGGACCGUACCACGUCGCGCCGCCGUCAGACCAGCCGGAGACGCUGGGCGGAUGGAGGAUGAGGAGGCAGCUGCUGGCUAGAGCCACGAAAGCGAGGAAGGAAGAAGAAGCCAUGCUCACGCUGAAGAAUAUACGAUUACUCCGGGUACGUUAGAGCAAGGAGAGUCUCUCGCCAUGUAUUUAUAGGCAGAAGACGGCCAGAGGGAUCGCGCGCUGAUUACAUGCCGAUUGGAGGAGAGUUUUCCGUUUAUUCAAUUAGCGUAUCCUCAAAGAUUUUUUAACUUCCUGAAAACAAAGCAUCUUUGCAGGGAUUCUAUCCGUUGUUUGUCUGAGAAACAAUUGUAGCUCAAUCAGUGAUGUAUCCGUCAGAUCUUAUAUGUGGAAAUUUAUUCAAAACUUUCCUUUUAUAAGUUUUUUUUUUAGAAUCUUCUUUUAUAAGUUUUGGUAGUAUUUAUUUUCUCUCCGUUGUUCUUCAUGGCCUAUAUAUAUAUGCUCUGGGCCAAGAAGAUUAUGUGUAUGUAGCAGAUUUGUCUGGGGAAAUCCCUACUUGCCGCAUUUAUAUGACAAACUAACGAGGAUGGCCCGGCCCAUUUGCGUGGAGAAGUAUCCGGUUUUGAAACCUUCUGGAAGGCCCCAGUCGGUUUAUAGCGGUUGUGGGAACCUUCCAGAAGGUAACAAACCGAUUUUUUAUUCUGUCUUUUAAUUUCGUUUUUUCUUUUCUUUUUUGUCAUUUUUGUUUUAUACUUUCUUAAAAAUGUUCAUGGAUUCAAAUUUUAUUGUUCAAAAGUUCAAAAAGUGUACACAUUUCCAAAAACUGUCCGAAAAUUUCAAAAAAAUUGUUCAGAAAUUAAAAAAACAUUCCCAUUUUCCAAAAAAUCAUCUAUUUUAAAAGUGUUUGAGUUUCGAAAAAAUGAUCCUUUUUUCAAAAAAAAUCAGAAUAUUAAAAAAAUGUUUCUGUUUUCAAAAAAAAAAUAGAUUCAAAGAUUGUUCGUGUUUUCCAAAAUGGCAGGUCAGCGACUCGUUCUGGUGGCGACAAAGAUCGCUUGGUGCUCCAGAGACCUUGAUGUAAUUUUCAUUAUGUUUGGAGAGUUUUGAACUUUGAUGAUAGAUCUGAAUCUUUUUCGCAGAAAAAAUAUACAACAAAUAUGAAGCUUCCUACAUUAUAAUCAUGCAAUAUUGAUGUGUGUUAAUGAUACAUCGGCACCAUCUUGCAAUAAAAGAAAAUAGGCUGCCAGCAAACUCGAAACAAUCAUGCAAGAUUUCAAAGCAUACGAAAGCAAAAUGAUAGAACUUUGUGCAUGGUUGUAAUAAUGGCUGUAAAAUCAACACUUGGUGCCACCGUAGAUGGGAACAUGGUUGAAGCCAAUUACUCCAAAGACGCAAGUGUGAGUCUUGUGCCUCCACAGUAUAAUUGUGUGAUGUAUACAUCAGGAUAAACUCCUUCCCCAAGAACAUUUCUGCAAACGUCUAAAUGGUAUUCCAUCCGCUUUAAAAUACUUGUCAUGGUUUUAGUUAAAGUACAUAUGAACAAAAUUACCGUAUGGACACAGCAGGAUAAACUCCUCCCCUCAAGAGAAAAGAAAUGUGACGUCACGAAACAUACAAAUGGCAACCUUGUAGUAUCAAUCUUCGCAUAAUGAAAAAAAAUGUUUCUACGGAUUCUAAGAAGAUAUUAUUUUUAGGGUUUGUAGAUCUUACUCAGUAUUUUUAGGUACAACAUGGAAUUACGCCAGUGAGGCCUGGUUUGGCAGGCCGGGGCAGGCCAGAAAUUUCAAAGAUCAUACUUUCUGGGCCGAAAAUUUCCCAACUUACUCCGGGUUUUGCCCCGGGCCAGCCCGCCCCGAUCCCAGAUUCUCGUCCCGAUUGAGCCCUUGAGGGACGCGCAGUUUAUUCUCCUGCGCCGCAGCCGCCUCCAGCCGUUUAUCGCCGGCGCGUUGAUCGGCUUCGGCGCCGCUCUGGCUUACGCACCGCAACCGCCGACCUCCGCCACGGCCGCUGCCACGCCUUCUUGUUUUUCUUUUGUUACAACGGCGUCCUGGUGUGCUGGAAUCCGUUCACGACGACUGUUUCCUGAGCUGCGCUUGGUUCCAAACGAAACUACGGGAGAAAGAGAAACAUGAGAACUUACUGUGGCUAAUAGUUUUCCCCUUCUUUUGUGCCAAGCCCUCUCCUAUAGUCCUAUUCCAUCAGCAGUGCUACUGCAUCACAAAGAACAUACUAUCACAACUGAAAAUUACUCAACAGCAGUUCAAAGUCCUGUUUGGCUGUUCGGUAGCUGCUAUGCUUGCAUCAUUAUUUAGUUACCUUUCUAUCUCAUACUGUGAACUUGUGAAGACUAUGCCCCCUGUGAAGAUCAUGUUCAGCACACUGUUUUAUCAUCUUCCUGCAAGAACUAGUACUGCUGCCUUAAAAAGAACAGCGCAACUGCACCUGGAAACUUGAUGUAGAGACACCAUCAUGUUUGCACUGUUUUACUCUGUAUUUUCGUGUGAAAUAAGACAUACUCAGGAUUCUAUUUUCGAUGUUGGAGCUUUCCUGUGGUCUGGAGUUUGCCAUGGAAGCAUUUGUAACAUAAAUUUAUACAACCUAACAUUCAUCUUCACUUCUUCAGCCCCUCGAACACUAAAACUUCUGCAUUCUAGGGUGUCUUGUGUAGGCUUUUUACCUCAAAAUUACUUUGCUGCUGUUAGAGUUUACUAUGGAUUAAAAAAGAAAUUACAGAUCUGAUCACAAUACUUGAGUUAAUUUCCCUACUGCUACUUGCUAUUAUUUUUCAUCCAUAUGUCUAAUCCAGGGCCGGCUUUAAUUUGGUUUUUAAAUGUUUACUAAGAUAAUCCAGUGAAGUCUAAAUCCAUUAUUAAUGCUAGAGGGAAACCAUUAUAAGUAUAUACAAAUGCAUAUCUGUUUGACUAUAGAGUAGUUGCACGUUGUCGCCAUCCCUAACCACCUUGAAAGGUUAAUCCUUGGAUUUUUACAUCGUCCAGCUGCAAGUCUACUCAAAGAAGCUACCUAUGAGGACUCCUGGGCAUGCUAAGAAGGUAAUUACAAUGGAACAACUGACUUUUGUUCAUCAGUUGUUAUCCUGAUGGUUAGGUUGCAGACUGGUGUCAUUGGCCCCAAACAACUAUACUUCCUGCUCUAAUUUUGUCACUGAGAACUUGUAUGUCAGUAUGUAUUCUCAACUACAUUAACAUUUUUAAGGUGAAAAAUGUGACGAAUGAUGUAAUUGAUGGCAAGCGGGGCAUGAUCUACAUUCCAGACCAGAAGGUCUGUGUCUAAUUUGUUUUAUUAAUAGUUGUGAAGUUUAAAUUAAACCUACUGGUAUACUUAAUCUGCUUCAUGUUCUUUUUUUACUGAAAGAUUUCAAAAUUGACCUUAACAAAAGACAUAAAGGGUCUGAAGCGCGAGCGCCGUGAUGCCAAGAAAAACAAGGGGCAUUCGAAGAAGCAAAAGGUCAACCCUGAGUGAAUAAUACAGUCAUCAUAUAGUGUCCGAACAUAUUCUGUUUUCCAACAUCAAUAUCAUUAAUGCUUGUUCCAGAGUUACUGAAGUCUGCACUGCGGUAUUGAGUUAGCUAGGUACUCCCUCCGUCCGAUAAUAUAAGAGCGUUUUUGACACUAGUGGGACGGAGGGAGUAGUUCUGUGUCAAUUUUUAGAUAUAUAAUGCAGCUUACGAUGCUAUAUGUCAUGGUUCGGUUCAUGAUCUUGGCCUCUGUCACCAUAAUAGUCCAUGUUCUUUGGCUUCAGUUAUGUACUGUAGGUCUUUAUCAUCGAUCAAAAUAAAGUUUCACUAUUCUUGUUUCGGAGUUGAUGUGACAAGUCAGAUGAUAACGUUUUGUAUCAGUCUAAACUCUGACGAAGCUUGCUUCUACAGCUUAGUAUUUUUUUUUACUUUAUGCCCUUUAAUUAGAUUUGUGUUGUAUACUGUGUUCAACAUUUGCCGAGAUAAAUCAUCGAUCUUCCAAUUCUGUAACAGUUUAUGCAGUCAGUCAACAUCCCACUCAGUACAGAUUCCAUUGCUGCCUGCCACUAACGUUAACUCUGUUUCAACAUUUUAUUUUCAGCCGAGGAAGAAGAAGAAGAAGCCCGCUCCCAAGAGUGCAAAAUGAAGGCGAGUGAAAGCCAUGACUCAAGUGACACGCACCAGCUGAACCAAUUGUCUCCUUAGCGUCUUAACAUCGUACGUAAAAUUUAAGCUCUGUACUGGCUACCUUAAAGUCACUGCUGGGUUUAAACACCUUAAUCAUCACAGCAAUCUUUUGAGAAUAGUUUCUGCCAAAUGCAAGGUCUUGUGUAUGGGUUUGGUAGUUUUGCACACAAAAAAAAUUUAUGAGUAGAUUUUUAAUUGUAGUACUGCUGUUUGCACCAUCUUAUCUCAGUAUAGCAGGCACUGCCUAUCAACCAACAACCAUUGUAAAAGGCGAUUGGGGAUAGGGGAGGAUUGCGGAUGAGAGGGAAAAUUGGGGAUUGUUACAUUAAAGCAAGGCUUUAUUACUAGCCAUUGUUGGGCAUUUCGCCUCGUACAAACUCGGCGACCAGUGUCGGAAUUCCAGUUCCAAACCAAGGAUGAUCAACACAGCAGCUACAACCUUGGCCAUAGAACCCUCGAUCCGUUGGUGAUUGGGUGGGUGUUUUAAGUCUUCACCCACACAAAUCAUAACCUGAUUCACCGCAUCAUCCUUCAUACAAUAUGCAGCUAUGUUCUUUUUUUCCCUGCUGUCGUGUAGUACACGAGACACGUGAAACAGGGCACGAGUAGCAGGAGAAGAUGAGAUAUGCCGUAGGCGUAGGUCCAUAGCAGAAUCAGCAAAUUUUGGCAGAUGUUGCUUUGCUCCCUGCCAAUCACAACACACACAUCAGUGUAUUUCAGCACAACCCUCAAACUCUGGAUAUACACCUGACGAAUUCUGUCAUAAAAAGGAGAAAUAGUAAUUUAUAAACCGGUCGAACUCGUGCAGACGCUCUGGUGCUUCUCCUUGGCGAGCCAGGCGUCUUCCAUGGCGCAGUAGUUAUUCAUCAAUUCGGAGAGUCCGGCCAUGGUUCUCGGCCGGUGAUGGAUGAGGUCCCUGUAGAGCCACUCUUCUUUUAUGUUGUUAUUUCUGAAUGCUGUCAGGGCGUCUCUGUCACUGCAAUCUGGGGUCGGUGAAUCGGUUCUGCAAGGAUCCAUUUGUAAUUUUCUUUAUUUUUGGGUUGUGUUGUACUACUGGUUCCCCUUUUUUUACGAAAAGUCAUGUGGCCUAUUCGUGAAAAAAGGGGACCAAAACUACCGAACCAUCUCAUCUGACUUUUGAAUUACGAGUGACAAAUCUCAGAUGUCUGUUUGUCCGGUGUUCUCGCCGAUCUGAUCGCCCAUCUUGAUCGUCAUCGGAUCGAUGCAACUAUAUAGCAAGACCUACAUGUGCCACUAAUGACGAAGUCGAUUCCAGCAGAUCUCUGAUAGGGGGUCUCGAACUAGUGGCCUAGAUGUGAUGGUAACAGAGACAAGAGAUUUUUACCCAGGUUCGGUCUUUCCGAGGAGAUAAAACUCUACGUUCUGCUUGUGUUGUAUUGAUUUGGGAUGAAGUACAAAGUACAAGUUGAUCUACCAGGAGAUUGAUGAUGUCGUGUACAAGCCUUACCCCCUGACUUAUAUAGGUACCGGGGGCCUAGGGUUACAAUACGUAUAAGUGUUGUAGACGAUAUCUAAGUCUUAGAGUAUGAGCCAAGUCUUCAAAAAAUAUUCCUUCUACACGUGGGCCACUUUGAUGUGGCCCGCUGGUGAACCGACAUGGGGUCCACAGCCCAGCCCACCUGGCCAAGAGACAACAUGGUGUGUGACCCCUAAUCCGAAACACCAUCCAUCUAUACUUUGUACUCCAAUCCAAAGCAAUAAGCGCAAGCAGUACGCAGGCAUUGGAGAGUCCAAACCUGGGUAAAAAUUCAUGUCAUGUUACCAUAGCAUCUAAUCGUCUAGCUCGAGAUCCCUACCCUGAGAUCCCUACCCCGAGAUCUGCCGGAUUUAGCUCUGUUAGCUCCCGCCCGUAGCGCAUCAUCUGCCUCCCGCAGCCGCUCCCGUUACUUGUCCAGCUCCUCCACCGGUGACACCUCAUUUCUGCCGCGUCUUCUGCCCUUUGCACAUGUGACAUUGAUCUGGUGGAACGCCUCGAAAACAUGCCAAGAUAUCCCUUCGUUGCACCCGCAUCAUCGCCAGUCGCGACGAGGAAUGCCGAUGUCGCCGUGCGGCGACAUCGAGAUGGGAGGCAUGGUGGAGGAGCUCAGGGUGUGGCGUGGGGGAGGGGGGCGAGCCUGUAGCGAAGCCACGUGGAUACGUAGCCGAAGGCCCGAACGAAGUGGCGGCUGGAGACUCGGACGAGGGGGCGUCACAUAACAAAUGAUUGCGGUUCUUUUCCCUAUGAAGUGCGCGAGGAGAAUGAUGGUGACGCCGUGGGCGAGGGAGGCAUGGCGGGACGACACAGUGACAAGCGCAAGAAGAAGAACGGCGGCUGUGGGCGCGGCCUAGCAAUGGAGCCAUGGCGGGACAACACUCCAACGAGCGCAAGGAGAAGGACGGUGGCACUAUGUGCGCGGCGCAGUGAUGUAGCCAUGGUGGGGGGCCAUAUUUGCGGGAUGGGGAGAGAAUUGAGGAAAGAAGAUAGCGGAUGGGGAUGAAUAGGAUAAGGCAUUCACACCAGAACAUGUUUAGGGAACGGGCUAGAAAGUUGACGUGUAUCCUCUAAGUGUUUUUUUAGAUUUGUGCGUCUGAUCCGACGGUAAUUAAAGCUUUCUUUCCAAAUUCUAUAAAUCCAACGUUGCGUUUUAUAGUGACUAGUAGAAUGCCCGUGCGUUGCUACGGGCAAAAACCGAAUACCUAUAAUUUGCCAUGGAAUAUAAAAAUAUGGACACAUAGAUCAAAUUAUUAUUUUUUAAUUGAGAUAUACACAUUAAGCAUUGUGUCUUCCUAUUUUCAUCAUACUCUUUCACAUUUUUCCUUCUCGGCAAUCUCCCUAUCUUCUUAACAUGCCAAAUCCCUCACCAUCCAAGAACUUAUAACUUGAUAUAUACCACCCAUGAUUAAAUAGCAUAGUAGAAUGCCCGUAGCACGAGCUACAAUACAUAUAAAUGACUUAAACAAAUGAUUAAGGUCGUCUUCAUGGUCGAAACUCAUUUCUCCUUCGUAUGUUUGGGCAGGUUCAAACAUCAAAUGGGCGCCCAGUGGGCUCCCCAAAAUUCAACCGUCUAGAUAGUCAAGGCUUUCUCAAAUCUAGCUCAUGUGGGGGUGAAAUGUGGUUUCCCGGUAUAUCCCAACACACACAAAAAACCACCCCGCAACGCACCCUUCCCUUUCCCUGCGGAACCGUCUCCUUUCUACUCGGUUUUCCGCCAUAGCACGGCAUUUCUCGCUGAAGCCCUCUCCUUUAAAAUCAGAUGACGCCCAUCUUCGUCAUGACACCCUCUCUCCAUCACACCAUAACUAAACAAACCAACUCCAACCCUUAUUUCGAUCAUUCUCAACCCUCACUCUUAUCACAAAAUCCACUAAUUUGUGGUCUAAUUGAGCCAGCGAUCGACGUCGUCGUGGCAGGCCAACAACAAGGGACAUGGGCGGCAACCGCCUCCCCAUCUUAGUGCUAGGAGGUGAGCUAGAGCACCCAAUGCCCUCCCCUCGCCGGCCAGCAAAAAACAUAGCACUGUGGAGUGCUCUGCUCACUGGCGAUGGGGCAUAUAUAAGCAACUCAUUGGUCCCGGUUCGUGGCUGGAACCGGACUAAAGCGCAUCCUUCUGUCCCUGUUCCUGCCACGAACCGAGACCAAUGGUUGUAGGCCAGGAGCGAGGCCCAUUGGUCGCGGUUCGUGCCAAGAACCGGGACAAAUGGGCCCAGACGAACCGGGACCAAUGCCCACGAGGCCCCAGCCGGCCCCCUGGGCUCACGAACCGGGAAAAAUGCCUCCAUUGGUCCCGGUUUGUGGCAGAACCGGGACUAAUGGGCUGGCCAAGCCCGAACGAAAGCCCCUUUUUCUACUUGUGUCUCCCACACAGCUAGCCAGCCGUUGGCCGUUUGCCGCAUUAUUAUACCCCCAAGCUAUCAAACAGUAUUGCUGACACUGCAUAUUUGGCUUCACGCAAAACUUUAGAUCUCGUGUUGAAUCUAACCUCAUAGAUUGAGUAUGAAAACAUUUACAAAUAUGUUGAUACUAAUGAUAAUAAUAUAAUAUAUGAUUAUGUCUACACCCGAGCAUCUUCUCUAGCAGAAUGCUCGGGUGUUGCCAUAGAACAAUAUAAAAGAAAUGCAUCCAACUAAGUGUUUCAUCUUAAUAUUAACAGGUAUAAUGCAAGGGAGGGCGAUAUGCCCCAAUACCAACAUGUGUCAUUGAUUGGUUGAUGUGUGAAGUGUGAUACUCUUGUUCUUAUCUAUGUCUUCAAUAAUGUGGAUCGAGGUCCUUGCUUCCUCCUUCUAUGUGCAUCACAUCUCUUUGUCCUCAUGGGUUUACUCUUCUAUGUCCAUCACAUCUCUUUCACCUCAUUGUGUCUCCUACAUCAUCACCUCAUAAGGUGACUCGUGCUUGUGUCCUAGUUUUUUUAAUUUUCGCAAACCCCUUGGUGUGUACUUUCAUAUAUUUGUAGUAAAAUUAAGGGAAAGUGUACGAAUGGCGAAAAACAGCUCAUAAUUGCCACAAAUGAUUGUUGAGUAAAAUAAGAAACAACACAUAGUUGCAUGAGACCAAGAAAAUAUCAAGUCUGUAUGAUUUAUUAACUAUUUAAAAAUAUUCCUAGAUGAAAUGACAAAUGUUUUUGUAGUGCCAAAUUAAUUUUGAUAAAAUUGUAGAACCAGAUCCUGUUUUACGAAUUAGUCAUUCGAUUCCAGAGAGGGCAUCACAACUUACAUGUUUUGAGACAGCAAAUCGCUCCGCAGUUGUUCGCUAAAAAAAGUAUCCAGUAAUUAUCCUUCCACAUGUUGUUGCCCAAUCACUGGACUUUCCUUGUUGGGAAGUAAGUUCCUAUUGUAGAUGAAUUCCUUAAUCGUUAUCUUCAAAAUUCAAUUAAUACAAGAUAUAUAGCAUAACAGCAGAAACAACGCUAAGGCAAAAAACUGGUGCAUAAUAGGGGUAGGUUCUUUUGAGCACAUAUCACCUACCUUCCUAGUCAAAUAGCCUUAAUUGGACCUUCAAGGGUUCACGUCAAAUUACUAAAUACUAUAUUUGCAACAAAAUAAUCAACAACUUUGAAUAUGUUUAGGCAUGUACGCUGUCAUUGGAAAAUUCAAGAAAGGAAACAGCCAAAGACGACACUAAUACUACAAGAAAGCAGUGACAGUAAGCCAUGCCUGUGCACUUAAGAUUACGUUGGAGACAGUGAUCGACGCUGUUUUAUUUCAUGAAAUUCAUUGCAUAAAAAGGAGAUAUUUAUCUACUGAUAUUAUUCAUUAUGCAAUAUGAUGGAGAAAUAAGCACACAGUGGAAUCUUUGAUCAAGCUAGAUGUCAAGACUUCAUGCCAGAUACUGAUUUAAAUAAUUGUAGUUAUAAAUUAUAAAUCAUGUGACCAUGAGCAGCAGUAAGGCAUGCUUUUGCAGAUCAGAUAAUAAUUCAACAUUGAGCAUGAAUCCAUGAACCGCAAAAAAAUGGCAUGUUUCUUUUACUAACAGAAAAACUCAAGUCAACACAUAGAAAGUUACGGUAAGUAUACUUCAUUCCCGAGUGGUUUGCGUUAGCCUGAUAGUAUGCGUGUCUAAUAGAUAUUGCUUGUCUCUCAUGACAAUUGAUGCUCUCCUUCAGCUUAGGGCCUUCCAAGAUUGAAAGGUAAAUGAUUUCUGCAAAAAGAAAGAAACAUGAAAAAUCUAUUAGAUAACAAUAAUCUUGGAUAUUGCCAAAUGUGACUAUAUCAGAAUUCUAAGCGCACAUGCAUUCUGUAGUUUUUUAUGGACAAACAGGUAUUUCCAAAACCAACAUACAGCCUCCUGCCCUCCUGCAUAAAGCUAUCGGUUUUAAGCCCCAGACAAACCAGGCAGUAAAACACGCUUUUAGGGCCUGUUCUGAACCUCUCCCAACUCUCCCAACUCCGAAGAUUCAGCUUCUCAGCCUGGCUUCUCACUCCAUCUAGCGAUCCCGGUUCGUUCGGCAGCUGAAUCAGCUUCUCUCUCGCAACUUUGGGCUGGCAGCGGCUGUUGGGCUGUCUUGCACCAUAUUGGGCCGGCUUGGAAGCAGGCUGGCAGCCCAAAAAGGUAGGAGAGACCGUUUUCUGUUCCAGGAACAAGCACGAGGCUGUUCUCACGAGGAAAGAAGGGAGGAGAGAGGUUAAACGAAACGUUUUUCUUCACUUGGCGGUGGCACACCUUGUAAUUUCAGUUCACUCCGCGUUUUAGAGGAUUCCGUGGAGCAUCGUUUUCUCAGCUUCUCAAACUCCACCAAAAUAACACUACGGGUCGUCACAACUUCUUGAAGCUAGCUUCUCACAUAAAAAACGUUCGGCUCAGCUUCACAUCUGGAGUUUACGGAGCGCGGAGCCGGAGGACUUCAGAACAGGCCCUUAUUGUAUGAAUUAUGAAUGAAUGAAAGGGAGAUGUACAUUUUUAAGAAAAAACGCAUAACAANNNNNNNNNNNNNNNNNNNNNNNNNNNNNNNNNNNNNNNNNNNNNNNNNNNNNNNNNNNNNNNNNNNNNNNNNNNNNNNNNNNNNNNNNNNNNNNNNNNNNNNNNNNNNNNNNNNNNNNNNNNNNNNNNNNNNNNNNNNNNNNNNNNNNNNNNNNNNNNNNNNNNNNNNNNNNNNNNNNNNNNNNNNNNNNNNNNNNNNNNNNNNNNNNNNNNNNNNNNNNNNNNNNNNNNNNNNNNNNNNNNNNNNNNNNNNNNNNNNNNNNNNNNNNNNNNNNNNNNNNNNNNNNNNNNNNNNNNNNNNNNNNNNNNNNNNNNNNNNNNNNNNNNNNNNNNNNNNNNNNNNNNNNNNNNNNNNNNNNNNNNNNNNNNNNNNNNNNNNNNNNNNNNNNNNNNNNNNNNNNNNNNNNNNNNNNNNNNNNNNNNNNNNNNNNNNGCACAUCGUCCAUGACCGCGGGCCGCGCAACAUCGUCCAGGGUUGAAUCGGCAACAUGACAGAUGACAUCCGAUUUGUUAUUAGUGCAGUUUACCUGUCAUAAAUUCAGAGAAACAUCAAUUAGAUCACAGGGCUGUGUUGUAAAUGAACAGGAACCGGUGCACUAAACAUCUGUAAAAUUAGGCCUGCUCAUGAGAGCUCAGCAAUAAUACAUAAAAUCUUCCCAGUACCAAUAUGUAACAACGACAUCAAUAUUAAUCAAAAAAAUAUUCAUAGCUAAGUGUUCCAAACUGAAAAUUGAGACAACCCAAUACUGCACAAGGAACCAGAGGAGGAGACAUGGAGCAUCUACCAGUGGUGGCCAACAAAUCUAACCAGGUCUCUUCGCGCACCUCUCCAGGGUCUCCGGCAGCGACAAGCUCGAACUGCCCCCACUUUCGUCUUCGUCGCCCCCGCCUGCUCUGGAGUCUCACAGUCCAGCUCGUAGUUGGUGACGAGAUCGAAGUGCGUCUUGUUGAGCUCGAGCACGAGCACAAGCCCCUCGCCCUAGUCAAGCUCAUACACGUCACGGGUGUUCUGGGACCCGCCAAGCAUACGAACGGCGGGGCGUACCCACUAACGCCAUACUCGUCAGAGAUGAGUCGGGCGAUGGGGGAAUCGACCCCACCAAGACGAGCGGGGUCGUUGAAGCAAGCGAGGGCGAGGGAAUCAAUUUCCUACUUUGUGUUGUUCUCCCUCCAGACUCCACUUGCUAACACCACCAAUGGAGUAGUGCUUUCAUCGUCUUUGACUCGUCGUGGUAUGUAGUCACGGAAGAUUCUUUUAUUGUUUUCUCAUAAGUAAUUUCUGCUCUUUUGCUCAUGGCAGCAGUCUUGAUUAGUUUUCACCCGCAGCAUUUCAUCAGACGUAAAUAUAAGGGUAUGCCCGAACAUUGCUUGUCAGAUUAUCCAUUCCUUUCCUCUCAUCCGAGAUGCAUCAAGAAAGUGAGCCAAAACUGGGAACUAAAGGUGCAUAUAGUGAAUUCGUAAUGCACAUAGAUAGACAUAUAAAAUGUGGCAAACUAACCAUGAGGAACUCUUUGCCUCUUAGAAAUGAAAUAACAACUUGGUUCAGGUAGAAAAUGAAAUACUCCCUCUGUCCUAAAAUAAGUGUCACGGAUUUAGUACAAUUUUAGUGCAAAGGUGUACUAAGUUAACGGCACUUAUUUUCGAACAAAGGUAGUAGUAAGUUACCUGAGAUAAUGUACGUAUGAUUUAAUGAUUAAAUGACCUGACAAAAGGGCUCCCUCUGUAUUAAUCAUUCUGCAGAAAAAACAAAAUUAUGAGUUCCUUGCUCUGAAGCACCUAACUGCAGUUUUGUAGUAAAUGUCUGAAAAGUAAAAUCAUGCUAAAAUACAUGAUAUAUGUCAGCAAAUACAAACUUUCUUUCAUUUAUAUGUUUAGUAGAACUAAAUCAACAUAUAUAAAUGGCAGGCAUUACAUCCAUCAGAGUCCAAGGCUCUUUUUGGUGUCUUCAAAUGCUGCACCCACUACUACCGGUUGGCUGGAACAAUUGCUGAUUUUUAAUGACUCCCUCCAUCUUAAUCUUUCAGUAUAACUACAAUUGAUUAAGAGCUCCUAGCUGUGAAGAACCUAACUGCAGUUUUUUUAAUAAAUGUCUGAAAAGUAAAAUCAUACUAAAAUGGAUGAUAUAUGUUGCAAAUAUGAAGUAUAAAAAGAAAGUUAAUAAUAUACCAUACAGUAAUAUGAGUAAACUCUGCAGAUCUGAACAUGCAGGCUUUAGCAUCAGGGAUUAUAGCUUUGGCAGUGAGUUUCUCCUUCCAGCACACAGACAUUGCCUUGUUUCUCUUUGUACAGACCUCAACAUGAGAAUCUUGUGAACUUAUUUCCAUUACCUUGGGAUGGUGAAAUCUUUAUGAUACAAAGUUGAUGCAUGUAUUAGUUAACCUGCAGAGAAUUCCAUAUUUUGAUCUAUAUAAGCAAGAAAGCGUACAAAUGAGGAAUAGCUUUAUUUAGGGCUUCUCAUAUAGGCCAUUGAGUAAAUUGCAUGAAAAAGAGUCUUAUGUAUUAAAAUAGAAAUACACAAUUCAUAAAAUAUUCAGGAACAAACAAAAUAUAGGAAACAAAUAGAAACAUGUAGUUGGUAAAGGAAUCACACAAAUAAAUUAUGAUAUAUGAUAGAAAUUGCCAAUGGCCUUAGUUACUGCUAUCCAAUAUUCUGAUUUCUGCAGUUAACUACUAACCCAUGACCUGUAAUCCAAUAUUACUACUCCGGAUUAGUAGCAUCCUCCUCAUUCCCAUCUUGUUCAUCGUCCCUGUUACAAAGAAACAUCAUCUCGAUGUAAAAUCAUAGUGCUUGAAACUAAUUCGUAUCUCUAGCAGUACAUUACAUCCGAUGUACUGACUGAAAAAAAUAUAAUCAAUUUCUAGCAGUACAUUACAUCAAUGUUAGGAAAAAUGUGUAGUUGGCUAUGUCGCAUGUCCGCUGGAAAAGGGCCAGAAGAAUACCUUGGUCCAGAGAAAUGGGGUUCAGUGCACACAACCCUCGUAAAAUAACCUGGCUGAAAGGAUAUUAGAGUAUCAGGUACCCACAGCGACACACAUCCUAAUUAAAACGUUGGAUAACCUGAUAAAAGUGUUUCUCCGUGUACCAGAAGCACGGGUGCAUGAGAUGGACUAACUAUGAGAUGCAAAACUCUGUAUUUGUAGGCAUCUUUUGAUUUUCUCAAGCAUCAAGAAGAAAAUGGGGAAUAUGCGAAAUACACUUCAAGUUUUAUGUGUGGAAAAUACCUGAGAGCACAACCAAAGCACGCCCCUCAAUUUUUUCGCUCAGAUAUUACUCUGCUCAACUCCUUCACCGGGUCCAGUGAAACAUCAACCUAAAACAGCAAUUACAACCAGUAAACCAAAUGCUUGAUACUUUUAUUAUUCAGAAAACACACAAAAGUUAGGUGGAGGGUUAAGACUACAUCUCAUGUUUGAGUUGUACCGAAGGCCAAGGGUGGAAACAGUUUGACAGAGCACAUAGUUAGAACCAAGAGGGUGGAAGAAAUUAGUAGUUAGUACCUUGGGGAGAUUAGGCAUUGGUCCAUUGACGAACUGCAAAACACAGUAUCACAUAUUGGGCAAGUCUGAAACCACAUUAGCAUGGCAAAUCAGAGCGGAAAACACGAUUUUGGAUGAGGAUGGUUUGUACCUGCACAUGUGCAAAGGGACCCGUGAGAUCAGGCUGCGCGCGGUCCAGCAGCGUGUCCUCCUCGUCCUCGGCCGCCUCCGUCUCCUCCUCCUUCUCCUUCUCCUCGUCCACAGGCUCGGCGGCGGCGACGGGGUCGGCCACCACUGCUCGGGCUCCAUCAGCGCGGCUCAAGCGGCGAGGCAGCGAGGCAUGGCGGGAUAGGGUUAAGGUUGCGUGCGGGAGCGGCGCUUGGGGGCGGAGUCGCGGCAAAGGGUCGUGAGGCAAGAGGUGGCGGCGGCGCCCGUGGCAGGAGGUGCUGCUCCACCGACGUGGAGGCUCUACGGCGGCUCCCCCGGCCGGAUCUGGCACUCUCUCCGUCAAAUCGGAUUGGGGAGGGAAGCUCCGCAGGGGUCGGCGGCAGAUCGAUGGGAGGGCGGCGGAGAACGAUCUGCUGUGUGGGCACGAGGCAUCGAUCGUAGGGUUUUUUUUGGCAUGGUUCUUUUUCGCGGGAGGGUUGCGAGUUAACGGAGGUGGGAGGAUGACGAAAAAAACCGGAGGUGGAAGGAUGACGAAAAAACCAGCGAAAUUAAACCGCGUAGACUAUUCACCAAGUCAUCCAUUAGAAGUAGAGAUCCUGUUUGAAAAUAUGGUCUCGUUAAUGUUUGAUAGCUCGCAUCCACCCUAAUCAGGUUUGCGUGGGAAGAAAUGAGUUAUUUGGUUAUUUAGAUUGCAUUAGACACUUACAUAGCACAAAACUUAAAGCAUUCUUCGGUCAGGCCCGCUAGAAACAGCCAAAUCGGCCAUUUCUAACGAGCCAGGCUGAGUCGAGCCACAUUGAGCACACGUGUUGGCUUCAGUUACACCCAAGGUGACGCUAGCUAGUAUACAGACAUUAAGCUCCUUCUCUAUUUUAUUUCUUUCAUUCCUUCUAAUCUACACAAUCGAUACUUUGAUUCGAGAUAAAUUCUAUACGAAAAAGAAGAUACACAUAGAUAUUAUAGAUGUUAUGGUUCUAUUCAAGCGAUCAGUUCAUAGUUCAUCGACUAUAAACGUUCAAUUUCGUGUUCAUUUUGGAGCUACUUUAGAUGAUUUUUGUCAAAUUCGUAGUGCAUGGUCAACAAUUUGAAAUUUUCUUUGGCUAGUAGCUUCAUCUUGCAAUUUCACACAAUUUUCAUGUUGCACAUUUUCUGUUUUGACGAUCAUAAACAAGUAGAUCUAACCUCUUCCUUGUGGAAUUUACAUAUGCAUAUGUAUAAUCUGUUUUAAUGACACUCCUUUAUUUUCUUCAUCUGGUCAUUCCUCUUUGUCUCCUCCCUUGUGGCAUGCGACAUUGGUGUCACCGCCGGCAUCUUUCCUCUUGGUCUCCUCUCCCACGUGUUGUUGCACUAGCGCCACUAUCUACGUCGUUCCUCUCAACAUCUUCUCCCGCAUGUUGUUGCACUAGCGCCACGGCCUACAUCGUUCCUCUCAACCUCCUCUCCCAUGUGUUGUUGCACUAGCGCCACGGCCUACGUCUUCCUCUCAACCUCCUCCCCCGCGUCUUACUACAUUUGUGCGGUCGCCGUUCAUCUCUGCCUUCUCUCCCACGUCCCGCUACACUAAAGCCACCGUCGGCAUUGUUCCUCUUGGCCUCCUUGCUGGUGUCCUAUUACACUGGUGCCGUGUCAGCGUCGUUCUUUUCGGCCUCCUCCUCCGCGUCCUCGUGCAUUUACGUCGUACGUCAUGGUGCGCACUACAUUUCUUCUCCAUGGUUUUCUGCCUCAACGUCCUCCUUUCGUCACUCCGCACGUACUUCCUUUGCGGCGUCGACGCUAGGAACCGCACCGCCGACGGGGUCGCUCGCCCACGGCUCCGUGCACGUCGUGUCGGACGCGGCGUCGCGGCCACCGUCCACGCAGUCAUGGAGGCACUCUAGUGUAACUAUGUGUGUUAUGUGUAGCUGUUAACUCUGAACCAUGUCCGGUAUACGCAACCAAACAUAGUAUAGUUGCAUCAGCGUAGUCAGCCCAGCCAGUGCAGAACACCAAACGCGAUGCCAAAAUUGCUCCCCUAGUGCAAGCAGCCUGCAUGCAGGCUAUCAAACGAUGUGUAGAUAAUGAUUUUUUUGCAUGUUUUUUCUCACUCGAGCCCAACCAAAACGAGUAUGUCAAGUGACAGAAACUAUGCAAGCAGCCAAACAGUCGGGAACCAACCUGUGGUUGAAUGGUUAGAGGGACAGUGGUAUCCCUAGCCUAUCAGGGUUCGUCUCCUGGUGCUCGCAUUAUUCUACGGUGACUUUUGUAAAUUUCAAAAUGACAUGCCGGCUCAGUCUGUUGAAGGUGCUCGUAGGGGUAGGGUGUACGUGUGUAUGAGCGCUUAUGUCUGUACUGAUGUUAAAAAAAGCAACCAAACGGUCCCAUCUGACCGUAUUGCACGGGUUGGAUCAGGCAGGACGAAGGAUGGUUGCAGUGCAGCUGGUGGCACGAGGCAGACCGGGCGGUGGCACGAGGCGACCCCGAGCCCGCGGAGGCCGCGUGCCCGGCACGCGCGGGCCACGCGCCUCCUGCCCUCCCGUGCGGCCGCGGCCCAUACAGAAAUGGCCAUGGCCUCGCGCCUGCACACACGAGAUCAGCGACGGAUAACACCAGCCCACGCAGCGGCACGCGCCAGGCGGGCGCACGGCACGGUGCCAGCCACGCGCCCUCGCGUGCCCCCCUGCCCCUCCCUCCCCGAUCCCAUUCCCACCGACGCGUGGGCUCCCUCCCUACACCCCCAUGGCCCGCGCCUCAUCGCCACGCCACGCCACCGCCAGCGCAACGGAACGGGCACGCCACGCGCCCCUCCGCCCCUUUUCUUCUUCUUCUUCUCGACUCUCCGCCAUUGCGCGAACCAAGAACAGAGAAGCGAGGCGGCGGCAACCCUUUCCUCCAAUCUCUUUCCAUUCGAGGUACGUACGUAGUACAGUACAUCGUCUGCCUCCUCCAAUCUUUUCUCUUUGGAUUUGGAUUGGGGACUGGUUUAUACGCACGGCUGACGGCGGCGGUUUCUUGGUUUCUAUCUCCAGACGUCUGCGGAGCAGGAAAGGCAUGGUCGCCAUGCUGCCCGCCGCGAGGGGAGACGCCGCCCCGGCCGCCAGCGCCGGCGCCGCCGAGAAGCUCCUCCAUGGGUGAGGCCUCUUGCUCUUGGAGCGGCUCCAGAUCUCCUUUCGUCUGGGGCCGGGUUUCAGUCAAUGGAUUCUCCGACUGCUUAUUUUCAUUAUCUGAACGUACGCCGGGAGUAAAUGGAUGCGCGUGAGGGCUGUGCCCGUGCUCCAGUGUUGCUGCUGAUGUAGUACCUUUCGAUCCGCAGGCCUCUCGCUGACGGCAAGUGCAAGAAGAAGGCCCCGAGGAUGAUUCACAAGGCCGAGAGGGAGAAGCAUAAGCGCGACCUGCUCAACGAUCUCUUCAGUGAGCUUGGCGAAAUGCUUGGUGAGUUCAUCACCAACCUCGUACAGUACUGUACAUUACAUCACACAGCAUUGCUCUUGGGACCCUGAUUCUCAGUUUUGGGGGUCGUUUUUUUUCUUUUCCAUCUGGUUAUCUCGAAUGUUACAGAGUUACGAUUGAGGGUAUGUGAGAAUCUGCGUGAUGUUGUUAUCAUCCAUGUCCAUGUCAUGAUUUUGGGGCGAAUGGUGAGGUUCAGUAUGUGUCAUGGAUUCCCUUAGUACUACAGAUCCCUACGAAUGUUUGUGUUGAUGAAAACGUGGAUCAACUUAUUGCAGUCUGUCAAGCUUCAGCUCCGACAUUACGUUACAGUUUAAAGCAGCCUGAGACAAUGUGAAUGUGCAUUGCCUGCUUGUCAGUAGCAUCCUACUGGUCUUAGAAUUUUUAUAUCACUCAAGUUUGCUACUGAAUGCUCCGUGGAGUAUUAAGCAUUUUUAUUCUGAUCGAAUGCCACAUCAUUUUUGCAGAAGCAGACAGGCAGACAAAUGGGAAAGCAUGUAUAUUGACUGACACCACUCGAAUCCUUCGAGAUCUGCUCUCGCAAUUAGAGUCUCUCCGAAAGGAGAAUAGCACACUGCAGAAUGAAUCCCAUUAUGUAAGUCGUUUCUAGAAUUGUGUUUGCUUCCUUCCUGUCGUAACACUGUUUUUCUUUCUUUUCUGAACUUAUGGUAUCUGAUCCUAUGGACUGCAAAUUAUUUCGAUUAUGCAUAGGAUAACUAGGCGAGACUCGUGCUAAAAUCAUCAUUCCAGAAUAUCCUUAUGUUGCUACAAUGCAUUUUAUCACAUGGUUCCUACAUAACUUGAGCGGUUGUUUAUUAUCCCAUCUUCAUUCUGCCACAAACAGGUUACAAUGGAGAGGAAUGAGCUGCAGGAUGAGAACAGUGUGCUCCGCAACGAAAUUCUGGAGCUACAAAAGGAGCUGACGAUGCCUCAUGCUGUGUCUCACUCUGCGAACACAGUUUUCCCGUCACAGCAGCCAAUGCAGCCGGCCACCAUCGCAAGCGCAGUAUUCCCCUUGCAGCAGCCACUGCUACAGACAACCAUCCUGGAGCACCCUUAUGCACCACCACCACCACCACGGGAACUUAAGCUCUUCCCAGACGCGGCAUCUGACGUCGAAGGCCUUGAACCAUCAGAAGAUCCGGAGGCCACCAACCAUAUCACGCGCCCGCUGGCAAGGUACCCAACAGAGUCAGCUUCGUGGCCUGUAACUGUAAGCCUGGGUCUCCCGAGGAUGGAAGAUGAACAAUGCAGCAGUGGCACAACCGGCAGUAGCAACGAAGGUAGUAGCUCUGCCUCUUCUAGAGAUUGAGUAGAUCAGUUCCAGCCAGUCAGGAAGUUUCUCUUUGAGCCUAGCGAAUAUACACAGCUGAGCAUGUGCGUGUAAAUACCAGACUCCAUCUUGGGUCCGGGAAUGUUAUGUUAGAUGAGAAGAUGACACUCUAAUGGGAAUCAGAAUAGCACCUUUUCUUCACCCUUUGUGUUGCAACUUAUGUUAACACCAUAGCGGAUGCAUAUGAACUGAUCUAGAAUCGAUAUGCAAAGCAAAACUAGGGCAAUAAGCCAUGGAGUCUGGUAGGAGAUUGCAUACUGAACUUCGGUAAUGCCGGUCUCCUCUGAAGGGGGAACCAGAAGAGGAACUGAAGAGGCAAUUGUAGGCGACUCCCUGAACGGCUGCGUAGAGGGUUUCCUUGCAUUUGGGCCAAUCUCCUUCGUUAUGCUUCCAUCCGUCAAUAGGCCGUCUUCGACUAAAUAUAUGAGUUUGUUUUUUUGCAUGGAAAUAUAUGAGUUUUAAUGAAGCUAGCAAUCUGCAACCAUACUGUUUCGGUGUCAUUUUGGAAUUUGGAGACUUAAACAAAGGCUAUCGUGUGAACUGUGACUUACUGUUUACUGAAAAGCAAUGCGCCCCUCAAAUUCUUGGAGAAGAAUGUGACUGAAUGUCCUCCUGACGCCGUGAGAGCUCCCAUAUGUUACCCCUCGAGGUAGUUUCCCAACCAUCCGGCUUGGUUUCACUAAAUUGCUAAAAACCAACACAACCAAAUUGCUAAAAACCAACACAAUUGCGUCGAGUAGUGCAAAAAGGCCUGCAGAAAACUAAAAGUUUGCAAAAAGCGUCGUUUUUUGGUUUUUUUUUUUGCCAAAAGUACUAAACACUUGGUUAAGAGCCAUUUGAUGUUGAAUCUGACUAGUGGAUUCCGUUGUCAUGGCUGACUUGGCACCAAAAUCUCUCACCAUUUGACUGGAAAAUUGUCUUGAUUUUUUCUAAGCGGUGGAAAAUUAUCUUGAUGAAGGGCCCACCUGUCACUCUCUCACCCAUACCUUCUUCCUCUUACUCCUGUUCAGCCCCCGGCCAGGAGCCCAGGUUUUUUUUUUUGAGCAUCACCAGGAGCCCAGGUGGACUCGCGGGCCAGCGCAGGUUAGUUCGUUUUUCUCCUCAGUUUUCCAGGUGCCCAGGUGGACACGCAGGCCAGCGCAGGUUAGUUCGUUUUUCUCCUCAGUUUUCCAUUCGUUCUUAUUUUUCUUUUCUUUAUUUUUUUUAGGGGUAUGUUUUCGAAAAUAUUCUAAGUACAUAUAUUCCAAAACCUAAAUUAACUUCGAAAUUUUAAAAAUAUGAAUUUGAAAAAUGUUAACACAGUGUAAAAAAAUUGUUAGCAUCCUUCAAUAAAGUGUUUGCCACGUUUAAUAAAUUUUCACGUGUUUCAAAACAAUGUAUGGGACAUUUUUAAGUAGUUUUAUACAAUGUAAAAAUAUUCGUGUGAUUAAAAAACUUAUCGUUUAAAAAAUAUUUACAUAAAAAUAGUUCGUGAAAUUUUUACAACAAUGAUUAUAAAAAUGUAAAAGAAUUCAUAUAGAAUAAAAAAUAUUUUUUAUCAUUCAAAACAAAUUCAUCAUAUACUUGAAAAUUCUUUGACACAUAUUCAAAAUCAUGUCUUCGGAAAAUAUUAAACAUAUAAUUGAAUUUUAUUUAAACAUCUAUACAAAAAUGUUUCAGAUGUAUACAAAAAAUAUACAAUGUGUAUGUUUAAAAUUAGACUUUUUUUUAGAGCAUAAGGGGAUUUUGAGCCCCCGGUUCCAUUAAAAAUGAAACCACGAAGUCUUACAUCACACUUCCAGCCGAAGCAUGUUCCGCAUCUCAGUCCAACAUAAACUGGGAAACCUAAAUUGCAUCGGCCUCCAGCCACUCUACUUAAAACUUUAUAUUACAUUAAUGGUGAACUUCUUAAGAAAUAUCAACUACUCCCAGGCAUCAUUUCUUAAGAAAUAUCAACUACUCCCAGGCAUCAUCUCUGGUUCAACACCUCUGGGGGGAGCAACACAUCCUGGCCAGAUCGCCUUGUCUCGUGUGAUCAGCAUCAGCCUUGCCAUCUUGAUCUGCUCCACGACAUCGCUCUUCAUCUUCUUGAGCGACUGAGUCGGCGAGCCAGGCAUCUCCAGAGGGGUGACUGGGCUUGAUGUAGCUCGAACAACUUUCUUCGACGGUAUAUCCAGUGCCCGGGUAGUGUUCUGCUUCCAAAGAUCCUCACCCGUUUUCAGUGACAGAUUAGCGAGCUUAGAGGUUUGGGAGACACCUUCAGUGUCAACUUCACCAUCAUUCACCCCACUGUCAACUGAAAAGGGGCUGCGAGAAUGCUGGAUAUCCAGCAUGAGAUUUGCUGAAGCUUCUCCAGCGACUCCCCUUUGUACAGGAUCAUCCAUCUUUUGAGCGUCCUCCAGACUUGCCACCAUAUCUGCUUCAAGUCAGACCAGACAGCGUUAUUAAACACAUGGUUGUUUCUAGUUUUCCAUAUGCUCCACAAGACACAAGCCACAAAAGCAUUCAUAGCUGUGUGUUUUUUGUUAGCCGACCAAAACCUGGCAAUGGGUAGAUAAUUUGCACCUAAAUCAAUAGAGAAGAAAUUUGAUAUAUCGCUCCAGAUUUUCCUGGCAACCACACAACCAAAGAACAAGUGAUCAACCGUUUCUUGUUCUAGACAGAAAACACAUUCCGGGGGUUUUUCAAUUCCCCUCUUGAGCAAGUUAUUUUUGGUCAUCAGCUUGUUGUGUGCUAGUAGCCACAGGAAGACCUGCACUCUGGGUGGUAUUACCAAAGACCAUAUGGAGGGGAUAUAAACAGGUGUUACACCCCUAAAAUUGAUAAUAGCAUAGAGAGAGCUAGAGGUGUAAAUCCCUUUUGAUUCAUACUGCCAAAUCAUAGCAUCAUCCUCAUCAGAGAGGGGAGUCUGCUUAAUGAUCUGUUCAAGACAGUACCAAUCCUCCAUCAUAGCAGUGGUAAACACUCUCCUAAAAGUUAACUUGAUAUUCUCCCCAUCCCAAAUCUCAGACACUGUUACACAUUGUUGGUGGCAGAUAGAGUACAAAUGCCAGAAUUGCACAGAGAGGGGUGAGGUCCCAAACCAGAUAUCCUCCCAAAAUCUGAUUUUCGUCCCACUCCCAAUUUUCCAUCUAUAGCCAAACUUCAAAGCUUUUGCAGCCCACGUCACACCUUGCCAAAAGUUUGAGGCUGCUUGUGGUCUGCUAGCAAAGAUAUUGGGGGCAUUCCUAUAUACUUAUUAUCUACAAUGGUCUUCCAGAUUUUCCCAUUGUCUUGAGAAUAUCUCUUAACCCAGCUCCCAAGUAAGCAAAGAUUUACAUCUAUGAUAUUUGGCACCCCUAAGCCUCCAUGUUCUUUUUUCAUGCAGACCAAGUGCCAGUUAGCUAGGUGAAGUUUCCUAUUCCCCUCAAAAUCACUCCACAAACAAUGUGCCAACUGACUAUUAAUUAAGUCUAAGGCCCAUUUUGGGAAUCUAAAGAAGGAUAAUAGAUAGACUGGAAUACUUGCUAAACAAGCUUUGAUCAGAGUAAGCCUAGCUGAGUAAGAAAGUAACUUCCCUCUCCACCCAGCCAUCCUUUUCAUGAUUUUAUCUAUAAGUGGUUGGAUGUCCUCCCUUCUCAGUUUAUCAUAGUGUAAUGGGAUCCCUAGGUAUUUUAUGGGAAAAGUACCUACAGUACACCCAAAGAUCUCAGUAAAGGUUGCUACCUCUCCCUCAUCUUCACCUAGAUGGAUCAGCUCACUUUUAGAAUAGUUAAUUCCCAUGCCUGAGACUUUUUCAAAACAGGUUAGGAUUUUUUUAAGAUUAGCUGCUUUUGUCUUAUCUUCAUCCAUGAACAGGAUGGUGUCAUCUGCAUAUUGCAUGCAGAUGACCCCCCCCUGAAUGAGAUCAGAACCCAGCCCUCUAAUCAAACUAUGAGAGGAUGCUUUAGCAAGCAUUCUUGUCAAUACAUCUACAACAAGAUUAAAAAGUAGAGGUGAAGCAGGGUCUCCCUGCCUUAAUCCUUUGUUAGUUACAAAGAAGUUGCUCUCCACUCCAUUUACUUUAACACCCACAGACCCCAUAUGAGUGAUCUGAUGGAUCCAAUUAAUCCAAACAGGACCAAAAUUCCUCUUAUGAAGGAUUUCCAUCAGAAAGUCCAAAUUAACUUUAUCAAAUGCCUUCUCAUAAUCUAGCUUAAGCACCAGACCUGGGUUAUCAGAGUGGUAAGUGGAGUGCAAGACCUCAUGGGCAGUCACCACACUUUCCAGAAUGAAUCUCCCUUUUAUGAAGGCUGACUGAUUAUUAGAAGUUAGGAAAUUCAUAAUAACAGCAAGCCUAUUGGUUAGUACUUUGGUGAAGACCUUAAAGAUGCAGUUUAACAAGCUAAUUGGCCUAAACUUUUUCAUACUGGUGGCAUCUUCCUCUUUUGGAAUAAGAGUAAUCAUGGCAAAAUUGAGCCUGUAGAUGUCUAAAUUACCAGCAUGAAAAUCCUUAAACAUUGCCAUUACAUCCUUUUUGAUGACCUCCCAAAAUUCUUGGAGGAAUAGGAAAGAGAGACCAUCUGGUCCAGGGGCCCCAUCAGAGUAGGAACCAAAUAUGGCCUCUCUCACCUCUUCCUCAAUAAAUGGUGCUUGAAGAGCUUCAUUUUUGUCAUUUGAGAUUUUCUCCUCUGAGGAGAAGAAAUCUUGACUUAGAGUGAAGCCCUGUCUAUCUUCUUUUUUAAACAAAUCUUUAUAGAAAUCAGAAGCUAUUUUCAACAUCUCAUUGAUGUCAGAUGUGGUGCCAUCUGGCCCCUCUAAAGCAUGAAUCAGGGUCUUCCUUCUCCUUUGAUUAGCUACAACAUUAAAAUACUUAGUAUUCCUAUCUCCCUCGAGGAUUUCCUUAUCUCUAGAUCUCUGCCUAGCCUUUGUUUCUUCCUUCAGCCAGAUGGCAUGAAGUUCCUUAAGGAUGUUCUGCAUCGUAUUAUUUUCCACAUCACACAGAUGUGUAGUUUCAUAUUUAAUAUCUAGCAUAUCAAAUUCUGCAGUGAGCUCAUUCUUCUUUUUCCUAAUACUAGCCUCUAAGUUCUUACUCCAGCCUCUAGAGAAUCUUCUAAACCUUCUUACUUUUUCCUGCCACACAUCUAUAGGUUUAGUCAUCUUAACUGGAGCAGCCCAGUUUUUAGCAAGUAGCUCUUUGAGAUCUUGGUGUAAAAGCCACCAUUUUUCAAACUUAUAGCUAGAUGCUCUAGGGUAUAAAAUUAGACAUAAAAGCAUAUAUUUGGGAAAACUUUAAUCAUGUAUUUGAAAGAAGCUAACUGUGUAUAAAAAAGUGUUCCUGAUGUAUAGGAAAAAUGUAUAAUGUGUACGAAAAAAUUAAACAUGUGUUGGAAACAAAGAAAAAGGAAAAAAAUAACAAAACCUAAAAAGGAAAUAAACUGAAUAAAACCAGUAAUUAAAAAAACACCGAACCCAAAAGAAAAAAGUUAAAACCAACACAUAAAACCAAAAAAGGGGGAAAAAAGGAAACCUGAACCGGAUAAACAAACAAAAAAAAUCAAAGGUUUAAGAUCCUUUAUUGGGCUGGCCGAGUAACACCUCGAUGCAAAAAAUACUUGAGGCAUGAGCAGCCACCAUCUCGACGAUAUAAGCGAGAUGGGAGCUCCCAUUGAACACUCAUCGUGUCCAACAACGGCAUGACACAUAGGGCGCUCCCUAUUGGGCCGGCCCAUGUAGUACUUGAGCACUAUAGCGGACUGGAGAAUAUUUGAAAGCACGGAAUUUGUGAACAAAUUUUGAAAACAAUAUUUAUUUUAAGUUCUGAAAAAUAUUUGAACCAAGGACUUUUUUAAAAUCUUUAAUUUUUUUUAGAAUUUUUCAAUUUUUGGAAAAUAACAAAAAAAAGAAAUGAACAAAAAACAAAAAAGGGAAACCCAGAAAACCUAGUAAAAAUAACACAAAGAACUCAAAAAGAAUACCGGUUCACAAACCUUCUAGUAAGUUCCCAAAACAGGCCGGGAACUUUCCAUAAGGAUCCCAAAAUCGGAUCAUGUACUAUGUUUUCUUCUACAAAUGAGCCGACCCACAUGAUCGACACAACACAACAUAUAGAAUACUGGGAUAAUACCCCGUACGUUGUUGCAGGAGUUGGCUGAUAUAUUUUUUGGUGAAGUUGAAACGUGAAUAUUUGAUUGUAUAGAUGUAAAAUAUUUUAUGGGAUAUAAUGUAAUAUUUUUCACAUGCACGGUUGCAUAUUUUGGUUGAUCAUUUGCCAUGCAUGGUAGCAUCUUGAGGUGGCCCUAUUUACAUGCAUGAAUCGUUGAAAACCAACACCGAAAAAAGGGAAAGAAAAAAGGAAAAACAGAAAACCAAAAAAUGAACGGAAAACGAAGGUAUAGCAUACCUUUUUGGACCAGCCUAGUAACACAUCGACGCGAAAAACCCUUGAGGCAAGAGCAACUACCAUAUCACUAUAAGCAAGAUAUAGCUCCCGCGUUCCCUCCAAAACAACUUAAGGCACUGUGGCGUGUUUCUGACUAUGAUACCGUUGACUAAGGUUUACUACGCGGUUGCUAAAUCGUGAUGGGUUAUAUUUACUUUAUAAUUUGUUGUGAAAAAACUAGACAUACAAUAAAUAGACAAUGUGGGUCAAAAUAACUGCUAAAAUUAACAAAAACGGAUUGGAUUGGAGUGAGAAAAUGAGAUUACUAGAAUCCAUCACAGCACUAAAGGUUAAGAAGGCUUAGGAGGUUCAUUCAGCAUGUCCAUGAAUUAUUUUUCUUUUUUCGUGAAUACGCAAAGCGUGCGUAUCUUUUCAUUGACAGAGGAAACAUAAUGAGUACAUGAAAGGGUACGCACAAACGCAUACAUGAGAAGGCGUGUGCAUGAAACUCGGAGCAGAGAGACAAGAGAUGCUUAGCCCGAAUAGAAGAAAAACACAGCUAAACCCACCAAGCCUGAAAGAGGGCCAGGCCGAACCGGCAUGACGUCAAACAUCUCUGAAGCCAACACCGAGGAUGCCACGAGCAACCAAGAUAGCGCUUUCCAGAAUGGGAGCGGCGACAUCAUCGAUCUGAAGAAGCGGAUUAAAGAUUUUUCCAGGUGCUCGAGGAGGGCCACAAGUAAAGGCCAUGGCAGCGUCUGCAAGAGAGGAAACAAACACCCGCGAGUGUCGCCGCUGCCAAUGCCAACAAUUUGAGCAGGGAUUACACCCUGGCCUGAGUCCAAGCAAUCUCAUUCCCGCCAAAUCAGGGUCCAGAGAUGAGGAAGUCAGUUUGUUGGUCGAGACCACCACCUCAAAAGGGGAGGAGGAGGGUGGGUGCCGCCACUGCGCGAUAGGGACAAAGCUGCUCCGUCCAUACUAGGGCACAAUGCGCCNNNNNNNNNNNNNNNNNNNNNNNNNNNNNNNNNNNNNNNNNNNNNNNNNNNNNNNNNNNNNNNNNNNNNNNNNNNNNNNNNNNNNNNNNNNNNNNNNNNNNNNNNNNNNNNNNNNNNNNNNNNNNNNNNNNNNNNNNNNNNNNNNNNNNNNNNNNNNNNNNNNNNNNNNNNNNNNNNNNNNNNNNNNNNNNNNNNNNNNNNNNNNNNNNNNNNNNNNNNNNNNNNNNNNNNNNNNNNNNNNNNNNNNNNNNNNNNNNNNNNNNNNNUAGGGUUUCAACACGGUAAUGCAGAGGACCAACGGCGAGGAGCUCCCACUGGGCACAUGCAUGCGAGUGUGGCGUUCAGAGGCUGGGCUCCAGGGAGCCCGUUUUGCCAAAGAAAUGAUCAAAAUAUACUUAAAAGUUUUAAAAAGUAUCAAUUUUUUUAUACAAAUACAGAUGCACGUUCGUCAAGUAUGUAAAAAGCUUCAUCGGGUAAUUCGAUUAUUUGCAUGCUACACAAAAAAGAUAAAUACCCAGCCCUAAAACAACAAAGAUAGAGCCCAUUUUACUUUGUGUAUUUAUCUUUUUUGUAUACAUUACAUGUGAACAUAUAUGUUCAUGAAUUUUUACACGUGUAUGCUACAAAUAUACAUCUAUGUAUAUACUCCCUCCGUUCCUAAAUAUUUGUCUUUUUAGAGAUUUCAAAUAGACUAUCACAUACGGAUGUAUAUAGACAUAUUUUAGAGUGUAGAUUCACUCAUUUUGCUCCGUAUGUGGUCGCUUGUUGAAAUCUCUAGAAAGACAAAUAUUUAGAAACGGAGGGAGUACAUUCUUUCAGAUCUUUUUAAUAUGCGGACAUAGUAUUCUCACUGGAAAACAAACGUACCCUUACUCUCUCAUUUCCUUGUUUACCAACUUAUUUACGAGAUUUUAACUGAAAGCACGUGUUGCUCGUCUCAGCUCGCCCAUGAACUGCUGCAGGCGGCCUUUGGUUUUUGGCCGGACACGUUUGUUUCGGUGACACAAUCUAGUGAGGAGUGAGUGCACCUGGUGCCCACCGACGACCGCUCUGAGCAUCAGCAUGCAUCCAGAUUCAUACAGGUACGCGGCUGCUUUUCACUUUCGGCCGGUAACAGGUGAGCGCUGUGUUCACACACAUUUUUGUAGCUCAUCUACUAGUGCCAUCUAUGGAUACAUGCAUCUGCCAAAGCCGACCACACAAUCAUAAUCCGAUUCUAUUGCGUUGCAUUGACCAUCGCAUCACCUACCUUCAUAGUACAUUAUUAUUAUGCGUUAUGUACUUUUCUGCUGUCGUCUAGUACACGUGGUGAUGUGUGUGAGAUGCUUCGUGUCUUACCAAUCGGUCAAAUCACAUCGGCACUACUUUUGUUCCCAAAAGAUGAUGUAGCGCCAUGUCGACUCUGAGUCUAAUGUCGAUCGUGAACAUGAUUAACAAAAUGCAGAUUCACGUUGGCAAGAAGAUUUUGGUGAUGUAAAUUUUAUUCAGAUGAGGUUUCCAAUGGUAUACCCCCUCCAUUCCUAAAUGCAAGUCCUUUUAGAUAUUUCAAUAUGAACUACAUAUAAAGCAAAAUGAGUGAAUCUACAUAUAAAGCUUUUAGUAAUCUCGUUGAAAUAUCUAAAAACACUUGUAUUUCAAAACAGAGGGAGUAUAUGGCACGGGUGGCCGGUAGCAAGGGCUAACGAGCCAUAGCUGGUGGAGGCAAGUUCGAAACUUGAUGGUUCGGGGGAGGGGGGGCAGGUUCGUCGAAGAAUUUGAAUGGUUCAACGGUUUGCAUGGAUGGCCAAGGGNNNNNNNNNNNNNNNNNNNNNNNNNNNNNNNNNNNNNNNNNNNNNNNNNNNNNNNNNNNNNNNNNNNNNNNNNNNNNNNNNNNNNNNNNNNNNNNNNNNNNNNNNNNNNNNNNNNNNNNNNNNNNNNNNNNNNNNNNNNNNNNNNNNNNNNNNNNNNNNNNNNNNNNNNNNNNNNNNNNNNNNNNNNNNNNNNNNNNNNNNNNNNNNNNNNNNNNNNNNNNNNNNNNNNNNNNNNNNNNNNNNNNNNNNNNNNNNNNNNNNNNNNNNNNNNNNNNNNNNNNNNNNNNNNNNNNNNNNNNNNNNNNNNNNNNNNNNNNNNNNNNNNNNNNNNNNNNNNNNNNNNNNNNNNNNNNNNNNCUGGCCUUGCCGGGUGGAGGCAGGCGGUUCGGCCUGGAUUGGCGGUUGUCAGAGGAAGAGGAAGCCACAAAAUCGUUUUCAAGCGACUGACCCCUAGCCAGUCCCUUUGUUAGUCAAAGGGACAUGCAAUAGAACCCUCAAACCCUGGAUAAAGGAGAAGCAGUUCUGUCAAAUACAAGGAGAAAUGGUAGUCCAUAGACUGAUCGAACUGUAAAGUCAUGGGUGGUUACACCGACUGCCUCGUCAUCUACCUAGAUACAUACUCUAACCGGAGAGCACAUGCAUGCAUCAUCUCUGGCACCAUCUCAACCAGAUAGACCAACCGAUCAACAUACAUCACCGAUUCACAAUUCCCCCCCAACAUGUAA